rnacentral:rRNA from 1 species
ACGGGUGAGUAACACGUGAGCAACCUGCCCCUAGCUCUGGGAUAGCUCCGGGAAACCGGGAUUAAUACCAGAUACGACCACUUUAGACAUCUGUUGUGGUGGAAAGGAUUCCGGCUAGGGAUGGGCUCGCGGCCUAUCAGCUUGUUGGUGGGGUAACGGCCUACCAAGGCGACGACGGGUAGCCGGCCUGAGAGGGCGACCGGCCACACUGGGACUGAGACACGGCCCAGACUCCUACGGGAGGCAGCAGUGGGGAAUAUUGCGCAAUGGGCGAAAGCCUGACGCAGCGACGCCGCGUGGGGGAUGAAGGCCUUCGGGUUGUAAACCCCUUUCAGCAGGGACGAAGCGAGAGUGACGGUACCUGCAGAAGAAGCGCCGGCUAACUACGUGCCAGCAGCCGCGG